GCUAAAUGUUGGAACCAGUGACCAGGUGGAGGUAUCGCUCCUGAGAAGGUUCUUAAUGCUACAGCUAACAGAAUAUGUGACUGGCAAAAUGAUGGUGUGUAUACAACAACUUAACCUCAGUCACCAAAAAUAUGAAGCUCACUUUGAAGUGGUGCUGAUGUCGAUACUGUUUAUACUGACAUAUCAUUGUGCUCCUGUCUCAUCAUGUCCCCUCCUGCCUGCUCCUAUGUGCUCCUUCCUGCUCCUGUCUGCUCCUAUUUCCUCCUGUAUGAUCCAGCCUGCCACUGCUUGCUUCUGUCUGUUCCUUUGUGCUCCCGUCUGCUCCCGUCUGCUCCCGUCUGCUCCCGUCUGCUCCCGUCUGCUCCCGUCUGUCUUCCUUUUUAACCAAAUGUUUACAUGGAUAGCUCAUAUAUUUAUUACAUGUGAUUUUUAUAGCGAUAGAUGUUUUAUUUAGCACAGAAGCACUUCCAUAGGUUUCCUCAGUGUGGCGCCAUUGCUCUGUUGUGUGCUGGUCUGAUGGGGUUUUACCACCUCCUCGUCUCCAUGGGGACGUUAUUUCUUUACCUUGAAUGUUCCACAGUAUAGUAUUAAAGUGAUCUAUUUUGCAUUUAGUCAGUUAGAGCUGGUUUUUAUAGCAAACAAGAAUGAGGAAAUACAUAUAAAAAUUUCUUACUGUGAGCAGGGUUGCCUCUCCACAGAUCUGACCUGUGGCCUUGUGAUGUCACUCUCUUCCCUGUAUAAAGAUAAGUACGUUUAAUAUCAUUUUGUGGAACAUUUCAGACGAAGAAAUAACAUCGCCAUAGACACGAGCAGGUGGUAGUCCCUUCACUAGAAAAAUGACAUGGUUCCCUUUUUAUUUUGUCGUAAUAACUACUUUUUUAAAGAGGGGGUAUUAUGCAAAAUACCAUGUUAUAAAGUUCCCACAUCCAAAACAUGCCUGAAGAGGUUUUAGAUUCAUCCAUGCAUGUUUGAGUAUUUUAGUGAUUUCUCCUUCCUUAUGGUUAGCAGUACGAGCCUGUACAAAGCUCCGCCCACAAGGUUAAACCACCCAAGCUCCCACACGACACCUCUCUAUAAAUAUACAGAAACAUGAUACAAAACGGUACAGAGCAACUUGACAAACCUGAUGUGAUGUGCAGUAGUUUGAUGCAGAAUGCACUCUGAUUAUGUUGCAAUAGUGUUCUGAAGGGGGAGUGACUUAGUGUGGAGAGCAUAUUAAAAAUGAAAGCUGUUAAUAUGGUGCUUUCGGUGAAUAUAGCAUUUUCAAAACAACAAAAGGUAACGCGGUGAUCUAAAUAUGUUAUGAGUUAGCACGUAAUGCCCCAUAAAAGUAAAGCAUCCCCACUUUAAUAAUAACUAUAUAUAUAUAAUUUACAACAGGCACUUGUGGACCUGUCACUUAACACAUUUGAAUAUUUGGUCUUGUGUGAUGGUGUAAAUGGAGCCUCUGAUGAAGUACUACGUGCCGCAUGCCGCUGUCCGUGGUGCUGAAGACGCUUUCACUCAGAAUUGUGUUAAGUUUUCCUGGUGGUUACGUACGUGCUCUCAGGGUUUGGACAGCGCAUGUUUAGAAUAGGCAGUGGUGGAAGAAGUACUCCAUUUUGUUACUUAAGUAAACGUGCAGAUACUGGAG
ensembl:lncRNA